UACGAAGGGUGCAAACGUUGCUCGGAAUUAUUGGGCGUAAAGCGCACGUAGGCGGCUUUUGUAAGUCGGAUGUGAAAUCCCCUCGCUUAACCAAGGAAGUGCGCCCGAAACUGCAGAGCUUGAGUGCCGGAGAGGGUGGCGGAAUUCCCCAAGUAGAGGUGAAAUUCGUAGAUAUGGGGGAGGAACACCGGUGGCGAAGGCGGCCACCCUGGACGGGUAAACUGG
rnacentral:rRNA from 1 species